rnacentral:rRNA from 1 species
UACGGAAGGCAGCAGUGGGGAAUAUUGCACAAUGGGCGCAAGCCUGAUGCAGCCAUGCCGCGUGUAUGAAGAAGGCCUUCGGGUUGUAAAGUACUUUCAGCGGGGAGGAAGGCGAUGUGGUUAAUAACCGCAUCGAUUGACGUUACCCGCAGAAGAAGCACCGGCUAACUCCGUGCCAGCAGCCGCGGUAAUACGGAGGGUGCAAGCGUUAAUCGGAAUUACUGGGCGUAAAGCGCACGCAGGCGGUCUGUCAAGUCGGAUGUGAAAUCCCCGGGCUUAACCUGGGAACUGCAUUCGAAACUGGCAGGCUAGAGUCUUGUAGAGGGGGUAGAAUUCCAGGUGUAGCGGUGAAAUGCGUAGAGAUCUGGAGGAAUACCGGUGGCGAAGGCGGGCCCCUGGGACAAGACUGACGCUCAGGUGCGAAAGCGUGGGGAGCAAACAGGGAUUAGAUAACC